CACGCCGUAAACGAUGUCAACUAGCCGUUGGGAGCCUUGAGCUCUUAGUGGCGCAGCUAACGCAUUAAGUUGACCGCCUGGGGAGUACGGCCGCAAGGUUAAAACUCAAAUGAAUUGACGGGGGCCCGCACAAGCGGUGGAGCAUGUGGUUUAAUUCGAAGCAACGCGAAGAACCUUACCUGGACUUGACAUCCCCUGAAUGACUCGUAAUGGAGGAAGCCCUACGGGGCAGGGAGACAGGUGG
rnacentral:rRNA from 1 species